ensembl:lncRNA
GAAGCUUUCGCUGUGGUAAGUUCCUCUCCGUCCGCUCUCACAGAGCAUGAGUUUAAAACAUAUUUGAAAAUCCUCAUUGAAGCUAAUAUGACAGUGCACUAACUGCAUGAACUGCCCAUACGGUAGUACUUGAGUAGAUUUCAGGUUUAUGACCGUGUUUUGCAGUUAAUAGAUUAGACGGUAAGAAAAAUGGACACGUGGAGCUAGCGGCUAACAGCUAGAGGAGGCUGUCGUGUCUAAUAAUUUUGAAACUUCUCUCAAUAGUUUGGGCGGAAUCCUGUUGCUGAAACCCAUGGUUAUUCAUGUCCCAUGUUAUUGCAGGUAUGUGUACUUUGAAACAUGUAUAUGGUUGAGCUGCAGGCUAAUUCUGUUUAAGACAUAUUGCUUAUUAAGUUUGCCCAGUAGAUGGCAGCAUUGUUCCAUUUACUAUUGUACGUAAAAGGGAAUUUUGGCUUUGGUUUAUUUAUAUUUACAUGAAUGUGCAUUUAAGUGAAUUAAUUUUUCUUUUGUUAUCUAAACCACAACGCAGUAAUGUUUCUAUUUUAUUUUCCGUGAUAAGUAUUGUUGCCAUUUUAUUUUUCAAUCAAUAUUUGUUUUUAUUUAUUUGGGAAAACUAAGAGUUCCACUAUACGAUCAUAAGCCUAUCGUUAGUAGCAAUGAAGCUUUCGCUGUGUUUGGGCGGAAUCCUGUUGCUGAAACCCAUGGUUAUUCAUGUCCCAUGUUAUUGCAGGGGAAUAAAUCACGCCUGAGCUCUACCCACUUCGAGUCCAGAGAGUUUUAUUCACACAGCGCUGGAAAGAGAAGCUGACCAGGGGUUACAUUGGUGCCGUGAGCCGUCAAUCGAGUGUUUGGACGGUGGACUCCUCUCAGCAACGUGGGCCAGUUUCAGCGCUGCACUUUGGGCGGAAUCCUGUUGCUGAAACCCAUGGUUAUUCAUGUCCCAUGUUAUUGCAGGGGAAUAAAUCACGCCUGAGCUCUACCCACUUCGAGUCCAGAGAGUUUUAUUCACACAGCGCUGGAAAGAGAAGCUGACCAGGGGUUACACUAGCUA